rnacentral:lncRNA from 1 species
CGCUCUCGGAUAUUUUUCAAGUAUCCUGUUUUGCACACCCUUUCUUAUUCCUCUCAUAUUGACCCCGCUAUCAUUGUCCUCUUAGCAGUUUUAAAUAAAAAUUUUACAAAUUUGUCAAAAUAAGGUCAGAAGCGGUUGAAUAUUUUCGGCUGUCACUUGGUCCAAUAUGUAUUUUUAAUUAUUGAAUGGCUCAAUUUGUAUUUUGAUUUUACUGAUUAUGCCGCCCCCUUGUGAUGCCGCCUGAUGCGACUGCCUCACCGCAUCAUAGCACGGCACGGCCCUGGGUCCAGGGGUCAAUUCUGAUGGCGUAUUCAUUUUCAGCGAUCCCAAAAACCUUCAAGUAACAAAAUCUGGCAUUAAUAAACGGAUUUUGGCAUGUUUAUACAUUUUUAGAGGCAUUUUAUGCACCUUAAAAUGCAAUUAUGCAUUUCCACCCAUUUUUCUAUUGUACACUUUUUUCCUGUCGUCGAACAUAAUGCAAAAACUUAUAAGUUUCUAGGUGCUGUGAUUAAAAAUCGAUUUAUUUUUGUCAAAAUACCAUGGUCCGAGAACAUACCGAAAAUAAGAAUUAACACUAGAAAGUCUGGCUUAGCAUAUCUACCUACAAAGCCCGAAGGGAUCAUUUUGGCCCCAAGUUUUUAAAUCGGCAAAAACUCAGUUUAAACAAAUCAUAUCAACUCUAGACGACAGAAUCUGAUUUUAUGUUUUAGUUUCAUUGUUUAACACAUUUGAUGCCUAUCAAAAACAUUUAGAACGCCAUACAAUUUGCAGUUUUUGACAUUUGCCACACAUUGUCCUGGCACUUAUUGGAAGUAUGAUUUCCUUUACCAAAUAAUUAUUGUCAACUGAUAUUUUUUUCGUUUUUGGAUAGUAACAGUGCUGGUUGUUGGCAAAACCGGUGUUGCUGGGUGUAGUACCAGAUUUCGGGAGGCAAGGUAUGGAGCCCAUAAUUCUUCACACGUCACGCCGACGAAUAAACUUACGAAGACUCUACUUUCAGCAACUUUUUUAUAAAUAAUCCAUGCAUUUAUUGCUCCUAAGUCAAGAGUGUUAUAAAACAUGUGAAUAGGCCAUCGUCUUGAAGCAACUUUUGUAGAAGUUUUUUUCCAUAGACAGCAACACCCACUGAUUGAUGUAUGAACUCAACAACAUGACAUUUUUGUCACUCUUUCCUUGGUAUUAAGUAAGUGUUAUUUUUUCGUCGCUCUGGAAUAUAAGUAAAGGGUACCUAACAUACAAUUAUAUAUUUUCACACUUUACGCUAAAAAAUCUUUCUUUCUGUUGCGAUUCAAAGUACCCACAAGACUUGUUGAUUUCUUUUGGAAUGACUUGGCCAAUGUCAACGAAGUGAAGUAGUUAUCUGUCAUAACAUGUUUGUCCUUUUCCAGUUGAUGUUCCAUUAUCCGCAAAACAACAUGUUCACCAACAAUUGUAUCUUUAUUGUGUAGAUGAUUAGUACCAUAUAAUGGUAACCAUUUACAAUAAACAAACAACAAACAUAAAUAAAUAUAAUUUUACCCAUCCGACAGGAAUUUAAAAGAAAGACUCGCCGAAUUUCCGA